AACGAACGCUGGCGGCGUGCCUAACACAUGCAAGUCGAACGUGAUUGAAGAGCUUGCUCUUCAUGAAAGUGGCGCACGGGUGAGUAACGCGUAGAUAAUCUACCUGGUGAUUUGGGAUAACAGUUCGAAAGGACUGCUAAUACCGAAUAAGCCCACGGAGUCUUUGGAUUCUGCGGGAAAAGGGGGGGACCUUAUGGCCUUCCGUCAUCAGAUGAGUCUGCGUUCCAUUAGCUAGUUGGUAGGGUAAAGGCCUACCAAGGCGACGAUGGUUAGCUGGUCUGAGCGGUUGUUCAGCCACACUGGAACUGGGACACCGUCCAGACUCCUACGGGAGGCAGCCGUGGGGGAUUUUGCGCAAUGGGGGAAACCCUGACGCAGCAACGCCGCGUGAGUGAUGAAGGCCCUUGGGUCGUAAAGCUCUAACAGAGGGAAAGAAAUGCAGGGGAGCUAAUAUCUCCUUUGCUUGACGGUACCCUCAAAGGAAGCACCGGCUAACUCCGUGCCAGCCGCCGCGGUAACAC
rnacentral:rRNA from 1 species